UACGUAGGGGGCAAGCGUUGUCCGGAAUCAUUGGGCGUAAAGAGCGUGUAGGCGGCCCGGUAAGUCCGCUGUGAAAGUCCAGGGCUCAACCCUGGGAUGCCGGUGGAUACUGUCGGGCUCGAGUCCGGAAGAGGAGUGUGGAAUUCCUGGUGUAGCGGUGAAAUGCGCAGAUAUCAGGAGGAACACCAAUGGCGAAGGCAGCACUCUGGGCCGAAUACUGACACUGAGGAGCGAAAGCGUGGGGAGCGAACAGG
rnacentral:rRNA from 1 species